rfam:Strongyloides stercoralis strain PV0001 genome assembly, scaffold: SSTP_contig0000015
UCUCUGGUAGUAUAGUGGUGAGUAUCCGCGCCUGUCACGUGCGAGACCGGGGUUCGAUUCCCCGCCAGAGAG